AACUUAUGUGAAGGCAAAAGCUUGGCUUUCCCCUCUUUCAAUUGCAUUGCUCCGUGUCUGAGAAUAUAAUCAUACAUCGCUGAGGGCAAGAUUGUAUGAUAUAGCAAUUUAAUUUAACUUUAGUAAUGAUUGAAGUAUUAUCGUAACAAUGCAGCCACCACAACUAAAAAGAAAGAAAAAAAGAAAGAAAGAAACCUUUAUUUAGGCACUUUCACCAGAGGGGCAGAUAAGCCAAUCAGGGCAAAUGGGCAGUUGCCAGGGCAACAAUAGCCCGUACCUGUGCAUGUCCCUGUUUCCAGCACAGGACUUCCAGGCCA